rnacentral:rRNA from 1 species
AACGAACGCUGGCGGAGUGCUUAAGACAUGCAAGUCGUACGAGAAAGCCACCUUCGGGUGGCCGGUAAAGUGGCGCACGGGUGAGUAACGCGUGGGUAAUCUGCCUUCGGAUCUGGGACAACCCCGGGAAACUGGAGCUAAUACCGGAUAAGACUACGAGAUCCCUGGAUCUCGCCGGAAAAGGUGGCCUCUCCUUGGAAGCUACCGUCCGAAGAUGAGCCCGCGUCCCAUUAGCUAGUUGGUGAGGUAACGGCUCACCAAGGCGACGAUGGGUAGCUGGUCUGAGAGGAUGACCAGCCACACUGGAACUGAGACACGGUCCAGACUCCUACGGGAGGCAG